CCGGCAUGAGCUCGAACUUCCGGUGAACUUCCACCAGCCAAUCCACAAGAAUAGCUCUCAUCUUCGCGUUGAUCUCUGGUUGCGCCGCCAUGUAAUCUCCCACUCGACCUUCAUCCUAAAUCACACAGAAAAUCAGAAACCAUAUAUCUUCAACGUAGUCAAGCACGGCCAAUUCAUUGCCAGAAUCUGCUGCAUCAAUCUCCAGGAUUUGUUCAUUCUGUUGUUUCUUGGUGAUUCCACAGGCAGCCUUGCUUCUUGCAGUGAGAGUAGAGGAGAAAGUCUUUCCAGUCUUCUUCUUGUUCUUUCCACUCAAGAUUUCUACUUCAUCUUCUUCAUCAGAGCUUAUGACAAUCACUGAUCUUGCAGGGGAUGGUUUCACAGCAGCUUCUUUCUUCUGUGCUGCCACCACUGGCUUCUGCAAAUCAAACACAAAACUUCCAUUAUCCCGAGCCCCGAGCCCCGCCCCGAGCAAGAGUCAAAUUCUAUGGACACACAAACUUGCAUUAUUACAGGUCCCAGGCCCCGGGUAAGAGCCAAACUCUAUGGACACGGCUUGGACCGAAAAUUAAUUACAAAUGAACUUGCCUUGAUUUUGUCUUGAGCACAAAAUCCUCUAGUGAUGGGGCGGCCAAUCUGAUCAAGUGGAGCAUUUCUCAGAUUCCCAAUGUCUCUGAGAACCUUUCUGUUUCUGCCAUCUCCUGCAACAUUCUUCUGCUUCACUCCUUCCCCUAAAGACUCAAACUUUAGUCCCCAUAUCACACAAUCACACAAAAUCUUAUGUUUUCUUGGCCUAACAUUUCAUAUGCAGUCAAGAAGAUAGCAUAAACACCACCAGAUCUUAUUGAAGAACCCAGAAACCAUGAAGACAUGAAGAAAUUCCUCAAGAAAUUAAAGCACAGACCCAACAGGACAGAGAUAUUCAACAGCAUACCCAGAAUUAUCAGAGAAAAAAUUGAAUCUAUUUAGGGUUACCUCUGGGUGGUUGGUCACGGAGAAUGGCUCGAGACGCCAUGGAUGGACCUUCUUCUUCUUCUUCCUCUACGCUAUUCCGACCAAAAAUCCACGAAAUGAAAGAAUGGAGACGACUGUUAUGCGUCGCUCCUUCUACGUGGUUUUCAGUCGCCACAGUUUAUAGAUUCCUUCUUCGUCUUCUUCUUCUUCUUCUUUCCCUUCGCUUUCUUCUUUAGAAAUCUUAGAUUUGCAGAGCGGAUUGGAUUGGAGUGAAAUCUUGUGGAUAUGGAGGAGAGGGUUUGGGGAGAUCGCUGUUUGGGAUUUAAAUUGGGGCGAAGCGGCUCUUCUUCAACGGUCAUAUUUUUCACUCUGUGGAAGGAUCGCCGUUGGAUUGGGUUUGAUCGGGCGGCUGUGAUGGGAUUGGAAUACUUUCCUUUUUAAUUACUAGCCGUUAGAGGCUCCGAAAUGUGAAUGUUACCGUUGAUAAUGUACUCCGUAAGAUUCUCAGCGCAUUUGAUGUCAAAAUUUUUACAGACGGUCACGCUCCGGUAACAAUUAUUAUUAUUAUUAUUAUUUUUUACCAAUGUUUAAUUCACUUUCUAAAUUUA